GCCCCACCGUGCCGCCAGCUAGCAGGAUCUUGGCUCUCUUCGGGGAUUCACAGGCUGGAGGGUUCAUGGAGGGAAGCGCCGCCGGGCCGCCGCUCAGCGCUGACAGCAGCCGCAACUGGUGUUUUCUCUCCGGCUCACU